rnacentral:rRNA from 1 species
GGACUACCCGGGUAUCUAAUCCUGUUUGCUCCCCACGCUUUCGCGCCUCAGCGUCAGUGUCGAUCCAGGAGGCCGCCUUCGCCACUGGUAUUCCUUCCUAUAUCUACGCAUUUCACCGCUACACAGGAAAUUCUACCUCCCUCUACCGCACUCUAGUUUGCCAGUUUGAAAUGCAAUUCCCAGGUUAAGCCCGGGGAUUUCACAUCCCACUUAACAGACCGCCUACGCGCGCUUUACGCCCAGUGAUUCCGAUUAACGUUCGCACCCUCCGUAUUACCGCGGCUGCUGGCAC